rnacentral:lncRNA from 1 species
UGGGGUUUUAAGUGAGGCAGCCAGGCCCAUAGAAACUAAAGACAGCAUAGUCUUAGGGAGACACUUUUGCUAAGUUUGUUCAUUUUAGUUAAAACUCUCUUUCUCUAAAAGCUGAGUUCUUUAGAUGUUAUGCCUUCUCUCUAACCUUGCUCCAUCUUUUCUCUAUCCUUUCUCAAAUUUUCACUGUUACUUUUUCAAAAAAGUGGUGCCCCUACGUUCUCGGAGUCGAGGGCUUCCAAUCCAUCCAAUAAGUUUCACGUCUCUUCGCUGAUAAGGUAAUUUUCC